rnacentral:rRNA from 1 species
UGGGUGGUAAUGCCGGAUGUUCCACAUGAGCGCAUGCGAGUGUGGGAAAGGCUUUUUGCGGCAUGGGAUGGGGUCGCGUCCUAUCAGCUUGUUGGUGGGGUAACGGCCUACCAAGGCGUUGACGGGUAGCCGGCCUGAGAGGGCGACCGGCCACAUUGGGACUGAGAUACGGCCCAGACUCCUACGGGAGGCAGCAGUGGGGAAUAUUGCACAAUGGGCGCAAGCCUGAUGCAGCGACGCCGCGUGCGGGAUGGAGGCCUUCGGGUUGUAAACCGCUUUUGUUCAAGGGCAAGGCAGGCUUUCGGGCCUGUUGAGUGGAUUGUUCGAAUAAGCACCGGCUAACUACGUGCCAGCAGCCGCGGUAAUACGUAGGGUGCAAGCGUUAUCCGGAUUUAUUGGGCGUAAAGGGCUCGUAGGCGGUUCGUCGCGUCCGGUGUGAAAGUCCAUCGCUUAACGGUGGAUCCGCGCCGGGUACGGGCGGAGCUUGAGUGCGGUAGGGGAGACUGGAAUUCCCGGUGUAACCGGUGG